UACGGGGGGGGCAAGCGUUGUUCGGAAUUACUGGGCGUAAAGGGCUCGUAGGUGGCCAACUAAGUCAGACGUGAAAUCCCUCGGCUUAACCGGGGAACUGCGUCUGAUACUGGAUGGCUUGAGUUUGGGAGAGGGACGCGGAAUUCCAGGUGUAGCGGUGAAAUUCGUAGAUAUUGGGAAGAACACCGGUGGCGAAGGCGGCUCACUGGCUCAUAUCUGACGCUCAGGCGCGACAGCGUGGGGAUCAAACAGG
rnacentral:rRNA from 1 species